UUGACCUCGAAUCAGGUAGGGAUACCCGCUGAACUUAAGCAUAUCAAUAAGCGGAGGAAAAGAAACCNNNNNNNNNNNNNNNAGUAACGGCGAGUGAAGCGGUAACAGCUCAAAUUUGAAAUCUGGUCCGGUUACGGGCCCGAGUUGUAAUUUGUAGAAGAUGCUUUGGUAAUGAGUCCGGCCUAAGUUCCUUGGAACAGGACGUCAUAGAGGGUGAGAACCCCGUAUGCGGCCGAGUACUCAGUGCCAUGUAAAGCUCUUUCGACGAGUCGAGUUGUUUGGGAAUGCAGCUCAAAAUGGGUGGUAAAUUUCAUCUAAAGCUAAAUAUUGGCCAGAGACCGAUAGCGCACAAGUAGAGUGAUCGAAAGAUGAAAAGCACUUUGGAAAGAGAGUUAAACAGUACGUGAAAUUGUUGAAAGGGAAGCGCUUGCAACCAGACUUGGGCACUGUGGAUCAUCCGAGGUUCUCCUCGGUGCACUCGGCAGUGCGCAGGCCAGCAUCAGUUUGGGUGGUUGGAUAAAGACUUGUGGAAUGUAGCUCCUUUCGGGGAGUGUUAUAGCCACAGGUGCCAUGCGACCAACCCGGACUGAGGACCGCGCUUCGGCUAGGAUGCUGGCGUAAUGGUUGUAAGCGACCCGUCUUGAAACACGGACCAAGGAGUCUAACAUCUAUGCGAGUGUUUGGGUGUUAAACCCAUACGCGGAAUGAAAGUGAACGUAGGUGAGAACCUGUAAGGGGGCAUCAUCGACCGAUCCGGAUGUCUUCGGAUGGAUUUGAGUAAGAGCAUAGCUGUUGGGA
rnacentral:rRNA from 1 species